ensembl:lncRNA
CUUAACUCGACAAUUUUACUACUCCUGGUUUGCAGCCCAAAUGAAGACAUAGACUGAGUUGCCACCUAUUGAAGUGGGAGACCGAGAGGAGGAACAGAUCACAUGAGUAGUGAGAAGGGGAGGAGUUUAACUCUGAUUAGAAAUGUUUAGGAAGCCAGUGAUGACAUGAGUCUGAAAUUUGGCCGGAGUGCUUUGACCUAACAAUUGGGGGAAUGUAAAGAUGAUCGAGAUUCUAUAUGAGCCUAUCAAGAAGCUUAAGGCUUAGAGAAGAACCUAACUACUGCCAGGCAAAGUGUGUGUCACAACAGAGGUUGAAACCAUGUGUUCUGAGUCUUCAGUGGAAGGAGCCCCUAAAGCCAGUGGAGAAUGAGGCAAAGUGAAUAGGAUGCAAAGUGGGGCUAAUGCAUUCUGCAUCGGCUUCGUAGACUGUGACGAUUAAGUGAUGCUGUCUGUUGAGAACCAGGGUGGCUUUCGGGCACACAAUAGGCCCUUAAAAGCUGGUGUCUCUUAUGGUGACUAGAGCAUUGGUGGUAGGGAGAAGUGUGGCCUCAGGGCAGCAGAGCUGUCAUGUCAUGCAAAUAGAAGAUAAGUUUGUACUUUGGGGUCAAACAGUAGAAUUAAAUGCCUGUCAGAAGAUUCUGGAAUCCUGGGUCAUGUUCUAGGUGCUUUAUACGUGUCAUCCACCUGUAAGGACGAUCAUUUUGAAAGAGGAGUCUGAGCCAUGAUAAAAAGGCUAUGGCAAUUGAUUAUGGUUUUCCCCACCCAAUCCUGCCCCCUCCACAUUUAUCUUUCCUAUUGUCACCCCUAAUACACCCUUUAUGGUUCUAACUCAGUGUCAGCGUCUGCUUUUUGGAGGACCAACCGACUCACUCCAGGGAGUGUACACAGUGUGAGUCUUGUACGCGCAGUUCAAAAACAGGCAGAAACCAUGGGAAUGAGGCAGAAGCAAGGUUAUUUUGGGAGGGGUACUGUUGACUGCGAGGGGCCUGAGAAGUCCUUCUGUGGUGGUGGACACAUCCUACAUCUGGAUCUGGCUGUGGUUGUGUUUGUUCAGUCAGUAAAUACUCACAUGGUGCCUGCCAGUCCCAGGGGUGUCUGGUGAUCAGAGAGACAGCUAUCUGUCCCCAGGAAGUGGCCGAUUUCUGAUGGUGGGGAAUAGAUGAGGAACCGGGAGUGGCUCCGGGAGACCAGUGAAGAGGCCCUGCGGCAAUCCAGGUUUUGUGCCCUUCACUCAACUUGCCAGCUGCCCCCCAAUAGCACCAAGUCCAGGAGGCUUUGUGGGGAGUUGAUGGAAGCACAGUUUUUUGUAAGUCCCAUGAGGUCCCAUAAUCCUCCCAUGAUUUCCUUACUGAGGGAUGGGCAGGGCAGAGAUCAAUGGCAUGGGACCCCCCACAUACCUCAAGGAGAAGGUGCUGGGGUGGAAAGAGCUGGCUCCCUCCAGGUCCCCCAAUCCAAUCCAUUCUGCUCCCGCAGCCCGUGGAGGCUGAAGGGCCCUCCCUCCUUCCAAGCAGGAGUAAGUGGCCAGCCCUUCAUCAGUUCUGGGGUUGAGACCAGACCAAAAGGUCAAGGUCUGACUGUGCACAUGCUGCCCAGGAGUAGCCGGGAACAACGGCACAGCAGUAAACCUCAGCAUGAACAGACUCAGUAAACCAGAUUCUCAUUCACUGUGAGCAGAGCCUGGGCCAAAACAUGGCAGGGAGGGUGUGGAGGUGAGGGUGGUGGUGUCUGUGGUCCUGGACAGGACUGCACUGGAGCAGAGGGUGUGAGGGCCUGGGGAGAGAGACAAGAAAGAGACAGGCAGGGGGAGAGUGAGUGAUGUUGG